AUUGAACGCUAGCGGGAUGCUUUACACAUGCAAGUCGAACGAGUGGCGGACGGGUGAGUAAUAUAUCGGAACGUGCCCAGUAGCGGGGGAUAACUACUCGACCGAGUGGCUAAUACCGCAUACUAUUGGAGCGGCCGAUAUCGGAUUAGGUAGUUGGUGGGGUAAAGGCUCACCAAGGCAACGAUCCGUAGCUGGUUUGAGAGGACGACAAGCGACACGCGGAAUGAGACACGGCGCAGACUCCUGCGGGAGGCAGCAUUGGGGAAUUUUGGGCAAUGGGGGAAACCCUGAUCGAGCCAUCCCGCGUGGAUGAGAAGGCCUUAGGGUUGUAGAGUACGGUGGGUAGGGAGGGGGCACCUGCAGAAUAUGGACCGGGUAACUACGUGCCAGCAGCCGCGGUAAUAC
rnacentral:rRNA from 1 species